AGCGAACAGACGAGGAGCUUGCUCCUUCGACGUUAGCGGCGGACGGGUGAGUAACACGUAGGUAACCUACCUAUAAGACUGGGAUAACUUCGGGAAACCGGAGCUAAUACCGGAUAAUAUUUCGAACCGCAUGGUUCGAUAGUGAAAGAUGGCUUUGCUAUCACUUAUAGAUGGACCUGCGCCGUAUUAGCUAGUUGGUAAGGUAACGGCUUACCAAGGCAACGAUACGUAGCCGACCUGAGAGGGUGAUCGGCCACACUGGAACUGAGACACGGUCCAGACUCCUACGGGAGGCAGCAGUAGGGAAUCUUCCGCAAUGGGCGAAAGCCUGACGGAGCAACGCCGCGUGAGUGAUGAAGGUCUUCGGAUCGUAAAACUCUGUUAUUAGGGAAGAACAAACGUGUAAGUAACUGUGCACGUCUUGACGGUACCUAAUCAGAAAGCCACGGCUAACUACGUGCCAGCAGCCGCGGUAAUACGUAGGUGGCAAGCGUUAUCCGGAAUUAUUGGGCGUAAAGCGCGCGUAUGCGGUUUUUUAAGUCUGAUGUGAAAGCCCACGGCUCAACCGUGGAGGGUCAUUGGAAACUGGAAAACUUGAGUGCAGAAGAGGAAAGUGGAAUUCCAUGUGUAGCGGUGAAAUG
rnacentral:rRNA from 1 species